rnacentral:rRNA from 1 species
GUAACAAGGUUUCCGUAGGUGAACCUGCGGAAGGAUCAUUACAGUAGUCGCCCGGGUUGCCGCAAGGCCUCCCGGGUAACCUACCACCCUUUGUUUAUUACACUUUGUUGCUUUGGCAGGCCUGCCCUCGGGCUGCUGGCUCCGGCCGGCGAGCGCUUGCCAGAGGACCUAAACUCUGUUUGUCUAUACUGUCUGAGUACUAUAUAAUAGUUAAAACUUUCAACAACGGAUCUCUUGGUUCUGGCAUCGAUGAAGAACGCAGCGAAAUGCGAUAAGUAAUGUGAAUUGCAGAAUUCAGUGAAUCAUCGAAUCUUUGAACGCACAUUGCGCCCCCUGGUAUUCCGGGGGGCAUGCCUGUCCGAGCGUCAUUACAACCCUCAAGCUCAGCUUGGUGUUGGGCCCCGCCGCCCCGGCGGGCCCUAAAGUCAGUGGCGGUGCCGUCCGGCUCCGAGCGUAGUAAUUCUUCUCGCUCUGGAGGUCCGGUCGUGUGCUCGCCAGCAACCCCCAAUUUUUUUCAGGUUGACCUCGGAUCAGGUAGGGAUACCCGCUGAACUUAAGCAUAUCAAUAA